AUGAACGCUGGCGGCGUGCCUAAUACAUGCAAGUCGCGCGAACAGACGAGGAGCUUGCUCCUUUGACGUUAGCGGCGGACGGGUGAGUAACACGUGGAUAACCUACCUAUAAGACUGGGAUAACUUCGGGAAACCGGAGCUAAUACCGGUUAACAUGUUGAACCGCAUGGUUCAACAGUGAAAGACGGUUUUGCUGUCACUUAUAGAUGGAUCCGCGCCGCAUUAGCUAGUUGGUAAGGUAACGGCUUACCAAGGCAACGAUGCGUAGCCGACCUGAGAGGGUGAUCGGCCACACUGGAACUGAGACACGGUCCAGACUCCUACGGGAGGCAGCAGUAGGGAAUCUUCCGCAAUGGGCGAAAGCCUGACGGAGCAACGCCGCGUGAGUGAAGAAGGUCUUCGGAUCGUAAAACUCUGUUAUUAGGGAAGAACAAAUGUGUAAGUAACUAUGCACGUCUUGACGGUACCUAAUCAGAAAGCCACGGCUAACUACGUG
rnacentral:rRNA from 1 species